rnacentral:sRNA from 1 species
GUUCAGUGUUUAUAAUUGCUUCUUUACGUUUAAGUCUUCUAUCCUGAAGGGUUUGUACAUUUAGUAAUUUUAAUAAAGGUGUUACCACAGUUAUAUACAUUGAUACUGACGUCUACUAACUUAACUUCUCAAUAAAACUUAUAGUCUCACAUUUAUUUAACCCUAACCCUAAUUCGUAAUCAUUUUUAAUAUAUACUUUAUUGUAGCUUAUUUAAGAACAUAGGAAGGCUAUACACUUUAAAGAACUUUUUUUUUAUAAUUAAAAAAUAGAAUAUUAUAAUAAAUAUAUUAUUGCCUCAAACAAAAUGGGGUUUUAUGUUUUAUAGCAUCAAAUCGUACACUCGUCAAUAGCAUACAACGUACAUGUUUUUUUCUAAGAUUAACAAACAAAAUUCGCACUAGUAAAAUUGUUGAAAAUUACUUGGAAUUAUUUUUUUUCAGCCUAGUUUUAUAACUGUUAGACUUCGUAUGUUAAAUAACUUCUCAGAAGGUCUUACGUUUACCUGUAUACCUUUAUUGAUUUAAUACAGCCCGAGAAAAAUAGGCCAAGCCAGGUAGUCACUUAAAUAUAUGUCUUACGUUGCUCGUGACGUCAAUUAGAUUAAAAUGUGAACACUGCCAAUACAGCAAAACAAAUCAUAACAUGUAGAUAUAGCUACUUAGUUGUUUUCUUGGAAAAAAUGCCUUGACUUGUAUUCUUUUCUUGUAAAAUUGCAAUGAAUUUAGGUUAAAGUCACUCUCUUAUUAACCAGAGCUUAAGAUACUAACGUCAACGGUUUCCUUUUUAUGUUGCUACAUCAGAAUAAACUAAAAGCUGGUUUGACAUAAAUAUUUAUAUAAGCAAAGAUAAAUACAUCAAUUGCUCAAAUUUAAAACUCCAUCAAGCUUAUCUUGAGUAGCAAUUAAGGAAACAAUUACAAUUUAAGAUAUUUUAGAAAAAAUAAUAAUAGAUUAACUAGGAGUGCAGUAUUCCUGUCGCUACGCAGUAUUAUAGUCUUAUUAUGUAGUAAAAUAUUCCUGCAUGUAACAGUAAAGACUUGUCUUCUAUUCCUGGUAUAUGUACUUUAAUUUUUUGGUAACAUUUUCUCUCAAAGGCUUAGAUUCUUCGGCAUCCAGUGUCCAGCUUUCAAAUCAAAUUGAAGGAUAGUGAUCACUAGCGAAGCAUACAGCUGUUAUUUUACGCUAUUGCAUCGGGGACGAAGAGACAGUAGACCGCAUUCUUUGCGAAUGUCGAGUUCUGCAUGAAAGUCACGGAUUUGAGAGAGAGAAAACUUGUUCGUGUGAGGCAUUAUGACUGUCCUUUAAGGGGGCAAGGCGACCUUACAACUCACUGCCCGCUUCCUCUAAGGGAGUAAUUCUCAGCAUGGUUUGUUACCAAUGGGGUUUCUGAUUCGGUAUAGCUCUUCUAGAUUUUCUAGUUUGAUCAUGGCAGCGGAUGGCAUGUUUAGGUACAUUGUGGUUGCAAAUUCAUGAGACGAUAAACAACAUACCUGCCAUUUUUUUUAAAACUUUUGGAACUCAUGAGAAACUGAUUUUGCAAAUUGAUUUUUUAGAAUAAUGGUUUGCAACAUGCAACAGCAGGAAAUUCUGGCCAAAACUAGGAGUAAGCCUCUUUAUAACUCUGUUGGCGCUAGGAUUCUCCAUUGCAGCUCUGUCUAUUACUUUAAAUAUGAACCAAGAUAACAAGGUAUAAAUACAAAUAAAAAUACUUAAGUAAUAAUGUAAUGAAAUGAUAACA